rnacentral:ncRNA from 1 species
CUGACACUGAGAGACGAAAGCUAGGGGAGCAAAUGGGAUUAGAGACCCCAGUAGUCCUAGCCGUAAACGAUGGAUACUAGGUGCUGUGCGACUCGACCCGUGCAGUGCUGUAGCUAACGCGUUAAGUAUCCCGCCUGGGGAGUACGUUCCCAAGAAUGAAACUCAAAGGAAUUGACGGGGGCCCGCACAAGCGGUGGAGCAUGUGGUUUAAUUCGAUGCAAAGCGAAGAACCUUACCAGGGCUUGACAUGCCGCGAAUCCUCUUGAAAGAGAGGGGUGCCCUCGGGAACGCGGACACAGGCGGUGC